GCCGGGCACGGUAGCAUGUGCCUGUGGUCCCAGCUACUCAGGAGGCUGAGGCAGGAGGAUCACUUGAUCCCAGGAGUUCUGCGCUGAUCAGUUGUUCUCAUUAAGUUCAGCAUCCAUGCGGUGACCUCCUGGGAGCAGGGGACCACCAGGUUGCAAAGCAGCCCAGGUUGGAAGCAGAGCAGGUCAAAGCUCUUGUGCUGAGCAGUAGUGGGAUCACAUCUGUGAAGAGGCACUGCACUCCAGCCUGGGCAACAUAGCGAGACCUGUCUCUA
ensembl:misc_RNA Metazoa_SRP Metazoan signal recognition particle RNA